rnacentral:rRNA from 1 species
UACAGAGGUGGCAAGCGUUGUUCGGAAUUACUGGGCGUAAAGGGCGCGUAGGCGGCCUUCUAAGUCAGACGUGAAAUCCCCCGGCUUAACCUGGGAACUGCGUCUGAUACUGGGAGGCUUGAGUAUGGGAGAGGGAUGUAGAAUUCCAGGUGUAGCGGUGAAAUGCGUAGAUAUCUGGAGGAAUACCGGUGGCGAAGGCGGCAUCCUGGACCAUAACUGACGCUG